ensembl:misc_RNA
UUGACAACCCUGGAGAGUGUAAUCCUUUGUUCAUCCAUAUAAGAGGUACAGCACGGGUAGUGAAGUAAACUCUCCUCCAAUGCACCUCAACCCUGACCUAAAGGGACUAUCUUCAGGGGUGACAGGAUAGUUCACUUUUCAUGCCCAUUCAAUGCUUGAGCUAUC